ensembl:snRNA U6 U6 spliceosomal RNA
GCGCUGGCUUCACAGCACAUAUACUAAAACUGGAACACUACAGAGAAGAUUAGCAUGGCCCUUAUGCAAGAAUGACACCUGAUUCAUGAAGUAUUCCAUAUUUGA